CAGCUGCGCAAUGUGCACAUAGCGAACUAUUCUUUCGCCUUUUACUAAAGAAUACCGUGUGCUCGUUGCAUUUAAACAGCAUACAAUACUUUUUGGGAGGGCUCUUCGAUUACGAAGAAU